UCACACUUUUUUUUUCAAACUAGAUUUUCACCCGUGCGAUGCACGGCUAAUAUAAUAAUAUAGAAUAAUAAAAAUUAUUAUAUGAUGAUAACAAAAAAAUUUUCUAAUUAAUUUUAUAUUUUUUAACAAAUAAAAAAAUAUACUAUCAAUCUUAAUUAUAGUACAUAUUAAAGUACACAAGCUAGAGAAAAAAAAAUUUGGACCAAAGUAAAUAUUCAACUAAAAUGCAAAAUUUAAUCCUGCUCUAUUAUCUAUGAAUUGGUAUGCAAAAUAAUUUACAUUUAUAUAUUGAUGUGCGAAAUAAAAUGAUAACUAAAAUUGAUAUGAAAAAUUACAAAUGAUAUUAAUAUUUAAGCAUAUAAUGAGAUCAACUAAACUUUCAUAUUUGACACAAAUUAGAAUAAGCACACAUAUAUUAUGUUCCUACUAUCGCUUUUAAAAUUCAAAAAUAUAUAGAUGUUGAUUUUCAGAAAAAUAUAAAGAAAAAAAAAACUUUGUUACAUGAAGAUGAAAAGUUACAUGAGUGACAGAAGGAAAAAAAAUUACGAAAUGAAAAUUACAGAAGUGACAUAAGGGAAAUAAUAUGUUCUAUUUUAAAGCAUCAAUAUUUAAGAGCGAAGAAAAUUACAGGAGUGAUGUGAGUUUUAAAUUUUUUCCUCUUUCCAAAAAUGCCUCUUCCAUUUGUCUCCAAGAGAAGUGAUGUUACGUAUUGAAUCAUACCCAAGUGCCAUAUCCUGAGAAAAAUAAGACAUCCAAUAAAAAAAUUAAUACAUCAUAUUUAAAUAAUAAAAUAAAAAAAUAUAUGUUCUAUUUUAAAGCAUCAACAUUUAAGAACUAAGAAAAUUACAGGAGUGACAGUAGAGAAAAUAAAAUUACGAAUGACAGUAGAGAAAAAAAAAAUUACGAAGUAAAAAUUAUAUCUAUACUACUUAUAAAUUCUUUCGCAAAGAAUAAUUUCAAAGCAACCGCCAAUCAUUUUGUUUUUACUUUGGUCAUCUAUACCGAUUUUUUCGCAACCAAUCAUUUCAAAUAAUUCGCAACAGAUUAUUGCGUAUUUCUCAACCAAUAAUUUUAAAUAAUUAAUUAUUUGCCAAUACGAAAUUUGAGUUUGACCAUUUUUUUCGCAACUAACCAUUUCAAAUAAUUCGCAACAGAUUAUUGCUUAUUUCGCAACCACUAAUUUUAAAUAAUUAAUUAUCUGCCAAUACGAAAUUUGAGUUUCACUGUUAUCUGCCAAUACGAAAUUUGAGUUUGACCGUUAGAUUAUUGAUUUCGGAAUCAAUAAUUUUAAAUAAUUAAUUAUCUGUCAAUACGAAAUUUGAGUUUGACCCUUUUUUUUCGCAACUAACCAUUUCAAAUAAUUCGCAACAGAUUAUUGCUUAUUUUGCAACCAAUAAUUUUAAAUAAUUAAUUAUCUGUCAAUACGAAAUUUGAGUUUGCAACAUAUUAUUUCCACCGCGAAAAAAUAAUUCACCAAUAAUUUUAAAUAAUUAAUACCAAUCAUUUCAAAUAAUUCACAACAGAUUAUUGCGUAUUUCUCAACCAAUAAUUUUAAAUAAUUAAUUAUUUGCCAAUACGAAAUUUGAGUUUGACCAUUUUUUUCGCAACUAACCAUUUCAAAUAAUUCGCAACAGAUUAUUGCUUAUUUCGCAACCACUAAUUUUAAAUAAUUAAUUAUCUGCCAAUACGAAAUUUGAGUUUCACUGUUAUCUGCCAAUACGAAAUUUGAGUUUGACCGUUAGAUUAUUGAUUUCGGAAUCAAUAAUUUUAAAUAAUUAAUUAUCUGUCAAUACGAAAUUUGAGUUUGACCCUUUUUUUUCGCAACUAACCAUUUCAAAUAAUUCGCAACAGAUUAUUGCUUAUUUUGCAACCAAUAAUUUUAAAUAAUUAAUUAUCUGUCAAUACGAAAUUUGAGUUUGCAACAUAUUAUUUCCACCGCGAAAAAAUAAUUCACCAAUAAUUUUAAAUAAUUAAUACCAAUCAUUUCAAAUAAUUCACAACAGAUUAUUGCGUAUUUCUCAACCAAUAAUUUUAAAUAAUUAAUUAUUUGCCAAUACGAAAUUUGAGUUUGACCAUUUUUUUCGCAACUAACCAUUUCAAAUAAUUUGCAACCAAAUAUCCAUAUUUGAGUUUGACACGUGGCGAGCAUAUAGAAAGCCACGUGUCAGCUUCUCACAUAAGGUUCAUUAAGGGUUCUACUUUUAUAUAUAGUAAUAGAUUUGAUCUUUAAUAAGUUUCUUUAAUUGCUCUUGACUCUUCGUGUAGGAAGAGGUGGAUUCAGGGCACUAUGCAGCCACUUUAUUGGACUCUCUUUCUCUCUCUUUUUGACUAAAAGGGAAAGAGAGACGUAUUUGAUUAGGUUCCAAGAGCAGGGCUGCUGUGCUCUCAGGAGCAUGGAGGCUUCCGUGCUCCUGAGCCGUUUUCGAUGAUGAAAUUUUCGAAUCGACGAUCGGCUCCGUUAGACUUGAUCUAGCGCAUUUGAAGUUUCUAGAAAAUAAUUUUUGCGAUUUUUCGAUAUCAUUUACCUAGUGAUCGAAAGGAUUCAAAAUUCAUAAUUUUUAAUGGUUGAUAUCUGCCGUUUUCAAGUUUAAGGGUGUAGAAGUAUUCAAAUCAGAUGAAAUUUUGAUAGAAAAUUCUUUAUACUAUCUACAACAAGAUCUAUAUUUCUGAUCGAAAAUUUUAGUGCUAUAUCACCACUUUUUAUUAGAUUUUUAUUUUCAGCCGUUAAAAAUUAUUGAUUUUGAAUCCUUUCGAUUGUUAGGUAAAUGAUAUCGAAAAAUCGCAAAAAUUAUUUUCUAGAAACUUUAAAUACGCUAGAUCAGGUUUAACGGAGCCGAUCGUCGAUUCGAAAACUCCAUCAUCGAAAACGGCUCAGGAGCACGGAGGCCUCCGUGCUCCUGAGAGCACAGCAGCCCUGCUCUAGGUUCCAAUGCUUUUUGUCCAAAAACAUUUCAUAGUUAUCUAGGAAGGAAAACUUCAAAAACCCCCCUGUGGUUUCGUAAUUUCUCAUUUUGCCCCCAUGUGGUUUAAAAUGUAUCAAUUUGCCCCCCUGUGGUUUCUUUUUUCUCUUUUUCUUAUCAAUUUCAUUAUUUUUUUUUUCUUAAAUCAGUGGUAAAAUUAAAAUUAAAGGGUACUAAAGUGAAUAUUUGAUAAAUCUAGAUAGUUAUCUGAAGUUUUUUAUAUAUAAUUUAAUGAAAUAUUAACGAAAAAGCUACCAAAAAGAUAAAAACGAAACCACAGGGGGGCAAUUUGAUACAUUUUAAACCACAGGGGGGCAAAGUGAGAGAAACUGACGAAACCAACGGGCGGGGGCGGGGAGGGGAGGAGGGGGGGGUUUUGAAGUUUUUCCAAAUUUUUAUACUCUGUGAUGUAGUACUCUAAGCGGGUGUUUGGCUCUUUGGAAAAGCAAGAAUAGUAAUUUUUCAAAAAAUUUUUAAUGAAAAAUUAAUGUUCUAAAAAUCGGAUCGAAUAAUGUUCAAAAAUAUUACUAGAUCCAGGGACGAAGCAAGAAAUUAAGAUUCGGGGGGCUAAGAUUUAGAUUUGACAGAAAAAAUUUUUGACCUCGGUUAGUAGAAAAAAAAAUUUGUCGGAUUAACGACAAUAUGAUAAAAAAGGAAUAAGACUGUAAGAGCUGAAGGGAAAGGACUAACAAAUUCGAAAAAAAAUUGAGACCCAAAUUUUAUUCAAAAAAAUUAAUUUGACCCCCUAAAAUUAAAAUAUAUAAUAUUUUAAUUUUUAUUAUAAAGGACUUUAAUGUAAUUUUAAAAAGUUUGAGAGGGCCAUGGCCACUGGGCCCCUCAAUAGCUCCGCCCCUGACUAGGUCGAGGGGUAAUAAAUUAGCGACUUCAAUAUGGGGCUUUUUUUUGCAUUUAGCCCCCUGCUAAAUUUUCAUUUUAAAAAUUCCCUGUCAAAAUUUAAUUUGCAAAAAUGGCCCUAGGCCUGCCACGCAGGCGCCACGUCAGCGCCACGAGGGCGGGGCCGGGGGCGAUAGUUAAGUUAAACACGGUGAACCAUUCACCGUGUGUUUGAUACGUAUUUUUUGUAUAUUGAAAAGAGAAAUAGGGAAUUUGUAUUCCUUUUCUUCUCUUUUUCAAAAAUCCGAACCCGAACCCGAACCAGAAAAUCAAAUUAAAAUCCAAACUCGGAUCCGAACCCGGCGGAUUUUAAAAAUUCAUACCCAUAUCCAUAUCCGACCAAAAACUCGAAACCCGAACCUGAACCCAGUGGGUUUUAAAAAUCUAUACCGUCGGAUGAAGAUCUAAGAAAUAAAAAUUAUUAAAUAUUUUAUAUAUCGUAUAAAUAAAUAAAAAUAAAUUAUGUAUAUAUAUAUAAUUUAUUCGGGUUUGGAUUCGGAUAAUAUUUCGGAUAAUAUUUCGGAUAUCCAUAUCUAUUAACAUCCCUACUCUGUAUUUCUCUUUUCAAUAAAAAUACGUACUAAACAUGGUGAACCAUUCACUGUGUUUGAACACGGUGAAUGGUUCACCGUGUUCAACCUAACACACGAGCCAUGGCCCUGCCCGCGUGGCGCUGACGUGGCGCCUGCGUGGCAGGCUCAGGACCAUUUUUGCAAAUUAAAUUUUGACAGGACUAAUUUUAAAAUAAAAAUUUGCCAGGGGGCUAAAUGCAAAAGAAGCCCAAUAUGAUAUUAUAAAUAUUUAAUUAUUUUUAAAAUUUUUUAUAUAAAAAAUUAUAAUGUAUUGUUAUUUUAGUAAUAUACUUAAUUAUAAAAUCCUAAUCUUUAGACGAAAUUAAAUAAUAUAUGUUUUCAAAUUUUACUUUUUACAAGAUUAAUUUGUGCUAAUAAAAAAUAAAAUUAGCUAUACUAAUUUUAAGCUGUUGAAUUUUAAUUGAUUUGAUAAAAAAACUUCAAUUUGACUAAAAUCAGAUUAGUUCACUACUUUGAUGGUUGAACCGUUGAUUCGAAUGAUUUUAAAUGAUUUUUUAAUUUAUCGGGUUCAUAGAAUUGAACUGAAUCGCACGACAAAAUUGGACGAAAAAUCGAGUGAUAAAAUCUAAUUAAGCUAAAUUUGCUAAAUUUUAUGGUCAAUAUGUUAGGGUCAAUAGGGUUAGGGAUUAUGGGUUGCUUUUCUCACAUUCGAUGGAUUCACUCGACCUUCUUUUCUAGCUUGAAACUCUAUUUUUCCGAUGAGAUUUUUUUUGCCGGUCUUUGUUUGAGUGAUCGAGAAGCAAUACUGUUGGUUAUAUGAAUCCUCUCUUUCAAAAGAAUGAGGACGACACCCCGCAUGCCCAUGCUUCGCACUUCCGUGUUUCGCAUCCAACCCGUACGGCUCUUGUGUCCCAACGCUCCUUGGCAAAGGAACCAACAAGUCCACACCGUGCUUCUCGACCGUCCGCUCGACCCUCGCUUCGCCAUGGUGCUCCGCGCCCUUGACUCCCAUAGGUUCACCUCAUAAGGCCCCACACAAACGGACCGGCCUCACUCUGCAUCGCUAGCCACUGGUCCCGUCCUUGGCUCGGCCACGCCUGGCUGUUCACACCAUCGGUCCAGUCUCUCAAGGUACUACUUGCCUCAUUGGGUUCCGCCCCUCGAGUCUCGUAGACCUCCCGUCAUACGAAUUCUCCCUCGGCGUGCCGUGCGACCGAGCAACGGAUGGUUGAAGGAGGAAGGGUGGACACUGCGUAGAGUGACCCCGACUCCCCCGCGACUCAUAGGACAUGGGUCGUCCCUUGGCUAGCGGAGUGGCCAAGUCUAGCGUUCCGUGUGACCGAGUAUUGGACGGUUGAAGGAACACGGCCUAGGGUAAUGUCGGAGAUGCAAGAAUGAGAACAAGGAGUAUGUUAUGGAGGAAGAUGAUAAGGUUUGCCUCCUUCUGUAUAUGGAUCUCAUCUCUCGAAUUUCAUCAUAUUAUAUAAAUCUCGACGUCUCUCGAUAUCUAUUUGUAUAUUUUGAUUGUAAGAUAUGUCAUUGAAAAAUCAUAAUUUAGUUUUCUCCAAUAUCACAUUUUAUUUUAUAAGUAUAUCUAUAGAUAAAAAAUACUUGGGUGAAUACUCUAGGACAAAAUUGAUUUUUUUUCCUACUAUUUUUUUUUUAUUUGUCAAAUUAGUUUACAUGCUUUUGUAGUUUUAAUUUUAUGGCAAAAUCAUACUUAAUUCAUGCUAGCAAUAAAAAUAGCAUGCACCUUGUGAGCUAAGGGGGCGUUUGGUUUCUCGUAAAAAUGGUCAGAAAAUUUUUUUUCAGUUGAAAAUCAUUUUUCUAGCAUUUGGUUUGACGUAAAAAAAUUUUACGGAAUUUUUUUUUUUACGGUUUCUAUGGAAAAGCUUGCUUUUCGUUUUCCGCCGAUUCUCGGCGAAAAACGAAAACUCACCAUGGAAAAAUCGCGACUCAUAUUUUCCUUGCAUCGGGGUCCACGAGCUCAUGUAAGAGCUCGUGGACCGAAUAUAUAUAUAUNAUCGAUGAUUCGAAAGUUGCAACAUCAAAAACGAGCUGGAAGCACGGAAGGCUCCGUGCUUCCGAUAGCAUAGUAGCCUCACUCAUAUAUAUAUAUAUAUAUAUAGUCCGGCUAUGGUGCUUAUAAAAGUACCAAGCACUUGGUGCUUGUAAAUUUUUUACCGUUAGAUCUAUGCCUUUGAUCAUUUUCACAUGUUAGAUUCUACUAUUCAACCAACCACCAACUCAACCCUAAGGGGCCCACAUCAUCCUAACCUCACUUUUCUUAAUCCAAUGGCCGAAAACAUACAAGCACCAAUGACUUGGUACUUUUAAAAGUACAGGAGCUCAAUUAUAUAUAUAUAUAUAUACUAGUAAAAUGUACGUGCAAAUGCACGUAAUAAUUAUUAGAAAAAGUUAUAAAUUUUUUAAAUUAUUUUUUAAUUUUAGGCUAUAUUUUAUAUGAUUGCCAAAUAUGUAUCUAAAAAAUUUAAAAUAAUAAAUCACGCUAUUAAGAAAGAUAUGCUUUAAAUGAUAAAUAAUUAACAAUAAUCUCUAAUGCAAAAAUUACUUUUGAAAUUAAAUAGAAAAAUAAAAACUGUUAGGAAAUAAAUUUUUGAAAUUAAAUAGAAAAAUAAAAUCCGUUAUCUUAAAAAGAAAAUAUAUUUUGAAAUUAAAUAGAUAAUAUCUAAAAAAGAUAUUUUAAAAUAAAAUAGAAAAAUAUCUUUUAUAGGAUUUUCAACCUCGUAAUUUGUUAUAGAAAAUUUACUUUUGAAAUUAAAUAGAAAAAUUUAUAUUUUAGGAUUUUCACAUCAGUAAUCUGUUAUAGAGAACUUACGUAUUCAUUGCUGUUUCUAUUUCUAUUUUUAUUCUUAUAUUUAAAAUUUUUCGUACGUAAAGAGAAAAAUGUGUGCUAAUUUUUUCGCCGAAAAAUGGGUCUGUCGACAGACCCAAAUUUGAAUAUACGUGCUUUUAUAUAUAGUAAUAACUAGUUUGGAGUGUAGUCAAAUGUACUACAAAUGUAAGUUAUUAAUAAUUAUUUUAAAUUAAUAUGAAAAUUGUCAUCAUUUUUAUUCAAAAAUUAUAUAUUUUUUUAAAAUAAUUUAUUAUUAUGUAUAUUAGAAAAUACCUUGUUAUAUAUUAUUCUAAUUCAAAUUUAAAGAAGUUUUGUCAAAAUAAAUUAUAUAUAUUUUUUAUUUAUAUAAGUUAUAUAUAUAGAUAAUGAUAUAGAGAUACAUUGGAUAUUUUUCUAUAUUUUUAAUUUAAAAUUUAAUUCACGAUUUGAACUCAAAUUUAAAUUUUUAAUAUAAAAUGAAUGGAUAGAAGUGCUUUUUUUAACAGAUUGAUCAUAACCGUUCAUUUUUAUUUUUAAUAUUUUUAACUAAUUGAUCAUACUAAUUCGUAGCAAUUGAAGUUAUAGAUAAGUAUAAAUAUUAUUUUUUAACAAAUUAGUCAUAAUCGUUUGUUUCUUAUGAAUAAUUUUUUACAAAUUAAUCAUAAAUUUGUACAUCAUAUUAAUUCAAAUAUAUGAUUUAAUAAAUUUAUCAACCAAUCUAUUUUAAAUUAUUUUCAUUGUAAUAUAUUGAUAGUCCCAAAAUUUUAAAUUUUAAAUUAAUUUUAAAUUUUGAAUUGAAAUAUAGAUUUACUGUAAGAUAUUCUGGCAAAUUUGGAUAAGCAUAAUAUUUUUCUAUUUAGAGAAAAAAAUUAAAUAAUUUUUUAAUUAAAAUUAGAUUCACAGUAGAUAUCUUUCUGUUGGCAAAAUUUGAAUAAAUAUAUUUUUUUCUAUUUUUUAGAGAUAACAGAAAUGAAAAGUUUGUUUCAUUACGUUAUUAUUUUUACUACGGAAAGGGAAUCAAUAUUUUUUCCGCUUAAAAUAGGUCUGUCGACAAACCCAAAUUUGAAAUACGUGUUAUAUAUAUAGUAGUUAAAAUGUACCUGCAAAUGCACGUAAUAAUUAUUAGAAAAUUAUAAUUUUUUUAAAUUAUUUUUUUAAUUAGGCCAUAUUUUAUAUAGAUUGCCAAAUAUGUAUCUAAAAAAUUUAAAAUAAUAAAUCACGCUAUUAAGAAAAAUAUGCUUUAAAUGAUAAAUAAUUAACAAUAAUCUCUAAUGCAAAAUUUACUUUUGAAAUUAAAUAGAAAAAUAAAUCUGUUAGGAAAUAAAUUUUUGAAUUAAAAUAGAAAAUAAAACGUUUAUCUUAAAAGAAAAUAUAUUUUGAAAUUAAAUAGAUAUAUCUAAAAGAUAUUUUUAAAUAAAAUAGGAAAAUAUCUUUUAUAGAUUUUCACACCGUAAUUCUGUUAUUGAAAACUUCUUUUGAAAUUAAUAGAAAAAUUAUAUUUUAGGAUUUUCACAUAAGUAAUCUGUUAUAGAGAACUUACGUAUUUUUGCUAUUUCUAUUUUAUUUUUUAUUCUUAUAUUUAAAAUUUUUCGUACGGAAAGAAAAAUGGGCGCUAAUUUUUCCGCGAAAAAUGGUCUGUCGACAGACCCAAUUGUUGAAUAUACGUGCUUUUAUAUAUAAGUAUAGACUAGUUGAGUGUACGUACAAAUGUACGUAACAAUUUAUAUUAAUAAUUAUUUUAAAUUAAUAUGAAAUUGUAAUCAUUUUAUUCAAAAAUUUAUAAUAUUUUUUAAAAUAAAUUUAUUAUUAUGUACUAUUAGAAAAUACCUGUUAUAAUAUUAUUUAAUUUCAAAUUAAAGAGUUUGUGUCAACAAUAAUUAUAUAUAUUUUUUAUUUUAUAAAUUUAUAUAUAGGAAUAGAUAUAGAUUAUACAUUGGAUAUUUUUUCUAUAUUUUUAAUUUAAUUUAAUUCACGAUUUGAACUCAAAUUUAAAUUUUUAAUAAUAAAAUGAAAUGGGAAGUGCUUUUUUAACAGAUUGAUCAAUAACCGUUCAUUUUUAUUUUUAAUAUUUUUAACUAAUUGAUCAGUACUAAUUCGUAGAAUUGAAGUUAAUAGAUAAGUAAAUAUUAUAUUUUUAACAAAUUAGUCAUAUCGUUUGUUCUUAUUUGAGAAAUUUUUUACAAAUUAAUCAUAAAUUUGUACAUCAUAUUAAUUCAAAUAUAUGAUUUAUAAAUUUAUCAACCAAUCUAUUUUGUUAAAUUAUUUUCAUUGUAAUAUAUGUGAUAGUCCAAAAUUUUAAAUUUUAAAUAUUUUAAAUUUUGAAUUGAAAUAUAGAUUUACUGUAGAUAUUCUUGGCAAAAAUUUGGAUAAGCAUAAUAUUUUUCUAUUUUAGAGAUAAAAAAUUAAAUAAUUUUUAAUUAAAAUAUAGAUUCACAGUAGAUAUCUUUCUGUUGGCAAAAAUUUGAUAAAUAUAUUUUUUCUAUUUUAGAGAUUAACAGAAAUGAAAAGUUUGUUUCAUUACGUUAUUUAUUUUACGUACGGAAGUGGAAUCAAUAUUUUUUCCGCUAAAAAAUAGGUCUGUCGACAAACCAAAUUUUAAAAUACGUGUUUAUAUAUUAAUAGUAAAUGUACGUGCAAAUGCACGUAAUAAUUAUUAGAAAAGUAUAAUUUUUUAUUAAAAUUUUUUAAUUUAGGCCAUAUUUUUAUAUGAUUGCCAAAUAUGUAUCUAAAAAAUUUAAAAUAAUAAAUCACGCUAUUAAGAAAAAUAUGCUUUAAAUGAUAAAUAAUUAACAAUAAUCUUCUAAUGCAAAAUUUACUUUUGAAAUUAAAUAGAAAAUAAAAUCUGUUAGGAAAUAAAUUUUUGAAAUUAAAUAGAAAAAUAAAUCCGUUAUCUUAAAAGAAAAUAUAUUUUGAAAUUAAAUAGAUAAUAUCUAAAAAAGAUAUUUUAAAAUAAAAUAGGAAAAUAUCUUUUAUAGGAUUUUCACACCGUAACUGUUAUGAAAUUACUUUGAAUUAAAUAGAAAAUUUAUAUUUUAGGAUUUUCACAUAGUAAUCUGUUAUAGAGAACUUACGUAUUAUUGCUAUUUCUUUUCUAUUUUAUUCUUAUAUUUAAAAUUUUUCGUACGGAAAGAGAAAAAUGGGCGCUAAUUUUUCCGCCGAAAAAUGGGUCUGUCGACAGACCCAAAUUUGAAUAUACGUGCUUUUAUAUAUAGUAUAGAUAUAUAUAUAUAUAAUAUAUAUAUAUAUAUAUAUAAUAUAUAUAUAUAUAUAUAUAUAUAUAAUAUAUAUAUAUAUUAAAAUUUUAUUUAUAAAUAUAUAAUAAUUUAUUUUAUAAUAUUAAAUAUAUAUUAUUAUUAUAUAUUAUAUUAUAUAUUUAUUAUAUAAUAUAUUUUAAAUAUAUCUUGUUUAUAAAUAUAAAUUAUAAUAAUUAAAUAUAUUAUGAUAAUUAUUAUAUAUUAAUAAUAUAUAAUAAUAUAUAUAAUAAGAGAAAAUAUAUAUUAAAUAGUUUUUUAUUUUUUUCUUUUCCUUUCGACCAAACAACCGUCACGGAAAUUUUUUUUGUUUUUUCCUACAAACCAAACACAAACACAAACGACGUAAAAUUUUUUUCCCACCGAAAAUUUUUUUUCCUCAGUUUUACGUGGAACCAAACACAACCUAAAUGAAUAGUGGAUUAGAAACGUAAUGCGGAAAAUAAAUUAACUUUUUAUGAUUUUAAAUUAAAAUUUAUGAUUUUCAUUCUUUUCUUUACUUCUAGAUAGGUAAGAAUGGGCAAUUGGGUCUAAUUUAAUUAAUUUUGUCCUAACUUUUUUGGUUGUAACAUACUAUAUAGCAUAUGUGGAAAAUGAAUUAAGACAAGUCAAUUAACCCAAUGGUUGAUUGGCCACUUAUGUCAAGUCCAAGCCUAAUUUGCUAGGCCUAUUCUUGGGCUUGGGUUUGGACUGCCCAAUCAAUCUAUGCACAUAGUAGAGAUUGUUCAUUUGCAGUUGUAACUGUAUACAGAUCCGAACAGAUCCAAAUUUAAAAUUUUUAAAAUUCAAAAUUUAAAAUAUUAAAAUUUAAAAUAUUAGAAUUUUAAAAUUUAAAAUUAUAACUUUCAAAUUUAAAUUUGAAAAUUAAAUUUUUAAAAUUUAAAAAUUUGAAAACUUAAUUUUAGAAGUUAAGAGUUCAAAUUUUAAAAUUAAAAUUUUAAAAAAUUAAAAAUUAUAUUAUUUUAAAAAUUAGGUCGCUAAACACUCAACUGAGCCGGCAAUCACUUUUGGGCUCCAAAAUAGGGUUUUGAGCCCACUAAAAUAAUUAUCUACCGCCCCACCGCACUGGCCUACUUUUGGGCCCACCACAAACACCAAAACCUGGCUGGCUCGAAUUGUAGAAAGGGGUGGGGGCAUUUUCGUCAGAUCAUGUCGACCGCACCGAAUCAUAACCCUAGCUAUUUAUAUAUUGAUGUUGGUGUCGCUCCUCUUCUCUUCUUUUCCUUACGCCGUCUCCUCUGUUCGCCCUUUGCAUCCAUACCCAUUCCCUGCGCCGCCGGAAACGAACGAUGAAGUUCAACCCUCGGGUGUCGAGCUCGCGGCGCAAGUGCCGGAAGGCGCACUUCACGGCGCCGUCGAGCGUGCGGCGGGUGCUGAUGAGCGCGCCGCUGUCGGCCGAGCUGCGGAGCAAGUACGGCGUGCGGUCGAUGCCGGUGCGGAAGGACGACGAGGUCCAGGUCGUGCGGGGCACCUUCAAGGGCCGCGAGGGCAAGGUCGUCCAGGUCUACCGCCGGAAGUGGAUCAUCCACGUCGAGCGGAUCACCCGCGAGAAGGUGAACGGCUCGACCGUCAACGUCGGCGUCGCCCCCUCCAAGGUCGUCAUCACCAAGCUCAAGCUCGACAAGGACCGCAAGGCCCUGCUCGACCGCAAGGCCCGCGGCCGCGCCGCCGCCGACAAGGCCAAGGGCGCCAAAUUCACCACCGAAGACGUCGCCGCCGCCGCCGCCGCCGCAGCUGCCCCUUCCCUCCAGGAGAUCGAUUGAGAUGAAUUAAUUCGCCACAUAGUAAGUUUAAGUUCACUAUUAUUAUGGUCGAUUUACUUCUCUCUUUUUGAGAUUGAUGAUGUUAGGAUGGAUGGAUGGAUGGCUUUGAGAUUGCGUUUAAGAUAAGAUGAUCAUAAUGUUUUGCUUCGCACUUUGCAUGAACUAGUUAAUUCAGUUUUGUGGAUCUGAUUUUCUUAGUAUAGUCUAUAUGAUGAAUGCUCGUGCUUGGUUAUAAAGUUGCGUAUCUCCUUAUUGAUCCACAUUUCCCUUUUCCUUGUGUGUAUUUGUUUCGGUUAGCUUUGAUUGAUUGAAGUUGGAUAUUAUUGGCUGGUUCACAAUCUAUCGAUUCUAUGUUAAUCGAGAUGCAACAUGUGUAUGCGACAAGCAAACGAUAAAAUGUUAUACCAUUCUAAAGAGAGAAAAAAUUUAUAUUUAUUAGAUAUACUUAUAUAUUAAAGUUAGCUAGGAAGUUUGAUAGAAAAUUAUUUAUUAGAUAUAUGUAUAUAUUAAAUUUAGCUAGGAAGUUUGAUAGAAAAUUUGGUUAGGGCUUUUGGUGGUUCCCUUGCAUGCUUAACAACUCUCAACAUCUCUUUGGUAAUCGUAAUAGGGCAGAUAAGAUUGACAGAAACUUUGGUCAGGACUAUAUUUUUUCUAAGCCUCUGGAAAGAUAAAGAUUUCUUUAUUUAGAGUUCUGGGGCAUGUAAUUUGUUUCUCCCUCUGCUUAAGAGUUCUCAGACGCCAAAGUAUAUUCUCUAGCGAGUUUUUUUUAUUUCUUUGACGUAUCUACAGCAAACACAAUGAUUAAAUGAUGAUUGCCGGGAAUAUGAUAGAUACAAUAAGAAGUCGUCAUCUGUGGAUGAUUUGUUUCACAAGGGCAAGUAUGUGUUGAAUGCACUUGUCGUCGUGUCGUGAAAACUGAUUUAAACAGUAUUUAUAUACUCUUAUUACGCAAAACUGAUUUAAACAGUAUUUAUAUACUCUUAUUAUGCAAUGUUCGUAGAAUAUUUUCCUGUUUAAAGUAAUUGUGCGCAGGAAAGUGAUAAACAUAGAAUCCCAGGGUUUACUGGUGAUCAAUCUACUACUUGUUUCCUCUUCUUUGCCUUUUCGAACCAUGCAGAGAAAUGUUAAUUUUCUCUUUCUUCUCUAUAUGCUAAGCAAGACUGGCAUUUACCAUUGCAUUCUCUUCUUGCCUUUUUAUUUCUCUUCUCUUCCCAUUCUCUCUCUCCAAGUCCGGUAGAGCAUUAAUAUGAGAAGAGACUAGGUGUUGAACAACUAGCUGUUGAGCAGUUUGAUUAUCUCCGUCUUUGCUUGUCGCUAGGCAUUGAUUUUUGUUACAAAUUAUAUGGACAGCUAUGAUGAGGAUGUGUUAAGGUCGAACAUUUCGGUGGAAUGGGCGAGAAGAGCCUCUUGUUGUGUCACCCAUUCGAAUGUUGAUGCUUAUAAAGUCUUAUGAAUAAAUGAACCUUGCUGUUUGUGGUUUAAUCCGUGUUCACUGGUAUUCUCUUUUGGCCGUGCUAUUAUGCUUUUAACUGAAUUGGAGCUCUAGUAUCUGGAAUUUGUGGAAUAGAAGGAACGAGUAAUAGUAGCUCUAGUAUCUAAACAAAAAUAUUUAUAUUUACAUUUAUAAAAGUCUCAGAAUAAGAAUGAAUUGAAAUAAAAUAAGAAGCACAAAUUUUUAGGAAUGGCAAUUUUGAUAAUAAGAAUAAAUGUUGAAAAACCUAUCUUCGUAUCAAAUCUAAGCCAAUUGAAAUAGUUGCGAAUUCUAGUUGUUCAACACAACCCAAACCAAAAACCUAUUUAAAAUAUUCAAAACUAUUGCAGAGAACCCAGUACAGUUAGUAUAGUAUAAGAGAUCUUGUAAGUGAUUAGUUGUUAAAGAUACAGUAUGUGCAUGGUGGCUAUAUCAAAUUGGAAUCGCUUCCGGUUGUAAGAGCUUCAACAUCACCAGUCAUAAACCCCUUUGUAGAUCACUAGGAAGCUACAAGUUUCGAUCCAAUUUGCUUCACAUCUGAGUUGCAUGUAAUUCGCUCCAGAAAUAAAUGCUGAAAUUGUUGACACCUUUACAAAUUUCUGGAGUGCUCAAAGCAUAGAUUUUAGAAGUACAAAUGUAGUUCAAAAUUGUACUUCUUUGCAUUAUGUUAUGUGUUAAUUCGAGGCACACAAAUUUAUCGAAAUAUGAAGUAUUGAGAUCAGUGCCAAUACAAUAUAUUUGAAGCAAAGGAGCAAUAGCAAUACUCCCCCUCCCCCUGGAAUAGGUGUGGGAAUAGCUAUUCCCAUCCCUAUUUAAUUUUAAAUUUUAAAUUUUGAAAAUUUAUAAUUUGUAAUCAUAAAAUUAAAAUUUUAAAUUUUAAAUUUUAUAAUUUUAAUUUUUAAAAUUUAAAAUUUGAAAUUUUCUAUUUCUAAUUUUAGAUUUGAUUUUAAAUUUAAAAUUUGAAAUUGAAAAUUUAGAACUUUGAAUUUUCGAAUUUGAGAUUUUUAAAUUCAAAAUUUAAUUUUGUAUUUUUAAAAUUUAAGAGUUAUAUAUUUAAAUUUACAAAUUUUAAUUUAAAUAUAAUAAAGAGGUUAAUAUCAUUAUUUUCUAUUUAUAAUCCUUCACUAUCUUCUUAUUUCACUUACUUCAAUCAAAUACUAUUUUGCUUAUAUUUGGGCUAAAUUCAAUACUCAACUAAAUACAAAAUUACUCCGUAUCCAUCUAUUCUCUUAUUUAUAGCCGAAUCAAAUGAAGUCUUUUUUUUUUAAAAAAAUACAUUGCUCACAAUCACAAGAUUGAAAUUACCUAUGGAACAUUAUGUCAAAUAUUUAGAUAACUUAUUAUUAUUAAAGUGAGCACCUUGUUUCAGUUCUAUAUAUUCAAUUAUUCAUAUUUUUAUUAUUUACAGGAAAAACUUUUAGCAAUAGUUUUUCAUAAAAUUAUAUUUAUAUUAUGCAUAGUUAUUUGAUGUUAUGAGAUUGUUUUUUCGGCUGUAUUUAUUUAAAAAAUUAGGGAACGAGGAGGAUUAAGGCAGUUGAUUUUAAUAUUCCCAUCUAUUUAAUAAUUUUUUUCAUACUUCUUGUAAAAAUGAAAUUUAACGAAUUUUCUCGAAUGAAUGUGACUAAUUUUAUAUUUGGAUGAAAAUUAAAUGAAAAUUAAAUUAUUUUCAGAAAUAAUAAAAAUAGGCGUUUGGAUAUUAAGAAUAGAAUAAUAAGAAUAAAAAUAAUUAUAAUUUUAAAAUAAUAAUAUUUAUCUAAUUAAUUAAUAUAAAAUAUUUAAUUAAAAAUAAUUUAAUAAAUUAAUUCACAAUUAUUCAUAUAAAAUGCAAAACAAAAUAUUAUUAUCAAUCUUAAGUUCAAGCUCAAAAUCCAUUCAAGUUGAAGUGACCUAUCCACGACGAUAACAGUGGAUUCGGCCGGUGCGGACGUUGACCGUGAAUCCAUUAACCUUCUUGCUAACCUUUUUUCAUUGUAUAUAAAUCAAACUAGUUUCUACAAAAUAAUUAAACUACAAAAUUAUUUUCCUUCAUACAACUAGUUCCCAUCAGUUAUGCAAAUAUUAGCCAGUUAUGCUUACAGCUUAAUGAAUUCCAUCACAAAAUCACCAAAUGGAUUCUAUUUUAAACUCUUAAUUUUUAAAUCUUCUUAACAACAUUUAUUCUUAUACUUUAUUUCAGAUAAGUAUGAAUUUGAAAAUUAAACGAAUAUAAAUAAAAGAUAUGAGCUUUAAGACCAUCAAUAUUUAUUAUUUAGUUUUCUCCAAUAUCCUAGAAUAUUUGACAAACUAUAAAAAAAUAAAAUACUUUUUUAGAACGUUUUUUUUCUUUAUUCAUGUAUAAAAUUAUGUUGUAUAGCUUUAUAGCUCCUAUUUGAUGUUAAAUUAUUUUUAACGCAUGACUAAAAACAAAAAUUGUAUGCACCUUAUCAUCUUAAAUGAAUGGAUGAACUACCUCAAAUAAAAUAAUUAUAAAAAAAAAUAGUAAUAAAAUCUAAUUCAUGUUUGUACAUUUCACAAAUAAAAUUCGUGUCUAAAAGACUAAGGCAUGCCCAGGAAAAAAAAGAAAAUUUUGUUAGGGCCAGAACAAUUAAUUAGUUCAAAAUUGAUUCAGAUUUUGGGGUUGGAUUCGAACAAGUUCAACCAGUUGAUAUACAGAGAGAGAAAAUCAUGCGAUAGAGAGUGACCAACUUUUUUCUCUUUUUUUGAAAAAUGUAUUAAUUUUAAUAAUUAUUUUUUUAUUUUGUCAAAUAGAUCAACAUAUCGCUCUUCUUCUCUAGUAAAAUUAGUAAUUGAACAUCUAUUCCUACAUUAUGUUUUAUAUCAUGUGCAGCUCUAGAACACAUCUAAAAUCGAACCCGACCAAAACCUUGUUACCGAACCGAAAAUCUGAACAAAAAAUAAUUAAUUUUUUGCCAUAUUUGAAAAUAUAUAUUACAACUUAAAAUUUUCAUAAAUAAAUUCAAAUAUAAUAUCAAAAACGCACGGGCGUGUACACUCACACAUAUAUAUCUAUAAAGAGUAGGACUACUGUAUUAUUAGGAACGCAACAAUCUUGUGCUAUAGUCUUGUGCUCCUAAACUUCUAAUUAUCCGGUGAGAGAGAAGCAAAAUUAAGAAGAGAUUCCAUGAGGAGAAAUUGAUAGAUUCAUCCUAAUCAUCCAUCAAAAUUGAUGAAGAGCUAAAAAUUUACGAACACAAGAACUGUUAUGCUGCUAAUAGCAUAAUAACUCUGCUCUCUCUCUUUGAAUAUAUAUAUACACACACAGUAGCCAAAUGCAUGUGCAAUCCGCGUUGCAAAUAAAAAAAAUUAGCAAUAUAUUUUUCAAAAAUAAAAAUUUAUUUUAAAUCAGAUAAGAAUGGCUCCAAUAAAAAUUAUUCUAAAAUAUGUGACAUUCUAAUGUAGACCCCUCAAAUUUAAUUUGUGAUAACAUUCGUAACUGCAAUAGAAAGGGAAAGCCAACAGUAUGAUAUUUAUAGGAGUUCAUAGUCCUUAAAUUAGAUGAUAGUGGCAAUAUUGGAAAAAAAAAAUUUAGGGAGGUUUCUCAAAACUGCUGUAUUAGAUUGCGCGACAUUGUAGAUAUAGAAAAACUAAAAAACGCGCGGUAUUAAAACGUGCAGGUGAUAUGGAAAGGGUAAUUUAAUCAAUAAAUAUGACAUGUUUAAAUUGUUAUUUGUCUGAGAUGUGAUGGCCAAAAUUAUCAUAUAAUACUAAAGUAUUAUUUUUUUUUAAAUAUCUAUCGGUUAUAAAGUGAUGCUAACAACCAAAGUUUCGAUAUUGGUAGAAGGUGGUAGUCAUUAUGUUAGAUGAUAGUGGCAACAUUGGAAAAUAAAAAAAACUCUCUUUUAACAGUAGUAUGGACAUAUAUAUAUAUAUAUAUAGAGAGAGAGAGAGAGAGUUGAGCUGGAAUACUAUUGAUAGCAAACGGGCUCCAUUGCAAUUCAUUUAUUUUCGAUGAUGGAGCCUCAAAAUCGACGAUCAGCACCGUUGAACAUGAUCUAUACCACUUGAAAUGUUUAGAAAUUAAAUUUCAUAUAUUUUCGAUAUUGUUCUCUUAUCCAUCAAGUGAACACAAAAAUGAACGGCUGAAAAUGAAUACUCUUUAAAAAAUGAUGAUAGGGGUCUUGUAAUCAAGAUCAAGAGUAUAGAUCUUGUUUUAAAUAGUUUAAAAAAUUUUCUAACAAAAAUUCAAUUGAUUUAGAUAUUUUUACGCCGUUAAAUAAGAAAACGUCUCAUAUCGACCAUUAAAAUUACAAAUUUUGAAACCCUUUGAUCAUUAGGCAAAUGAUGUCGAAGAGAUUUGAAAUUUGAUUUCUAAACACUUUAAGUGGUAUAGAUCAUGUUCAACGGUGCCGAUCGUCGAUUUGGAGGCUCCAUCAUCGAAAACAAAUGGGUGGCAACGGAACCCGUUUGCUAUCGAUAGUAUUCUAGCACAACUCUAUAUAUAUAUAUAUAUAUAUAUAUAUAUAUAUAUAUAUAUAUAUAUAUAUAUCUAUGGAUUACGUGCAAAUCACGUAACAUUAAUUAUUAUUAUAUAUUUCAAACGAAUAUAAAGUGUACAUUAUAUAAAUCCAAAAUUUAUAAUAAAAACUAUAUUUAUAAAUUCAAUAUAUAAAUAAUUUAUUAGAAAAUAUUUAAAAUAUCCUAUCGUGUUCUUUUUAUAUAUAUACAUCGAGACAUUUUAUAUACUUAUUGAUUGAUGAUAUAAAUUUAAAUAUGUGUGUUUAAACUAAACGCAUUCAAAUUUUAAUUUAUAUUGUAAUUUUCAAAUUUUAAAAUUAAGAUUGAUCCACUGUAAAUAAAAAAUUAAUUGUUAAUUAAAGAUUGAUAUGCAAAAAUUAAAUUAAUCUAUGUUAAACUCGAAUUUUAAUGAUAAAAAUAGAUAAAUUACAGUAAUGGCUUUUUUACAAACUUGAUCAUAACUGUUUGUUUUUUAUUGAAGGUAUUUUUUUUAAACAAAUUUGAGUUAUGAAUGUUGUAGGAUUGAAUUUAUCGAACAUGGAUAGGAAUGCUAUUUUUUAAUAAUUGAUCAUAACUAUUCUUAUUUGUGAUUCUUUUUAACAGCAAAUGUGAUACAAUAAAAGUAUAUUUGUAGAAAGAAGCAAAGUAGAUAUUUUAUAUAGAGAGAUUUAUAUAGAUUGAUCAUUGAACCGUUCUUAUGAUUUUGAGAUAUUUUUAGACAAAUUAAUCAUAACCAUUCGUAGGGAAUAUUAUUUUUUUUACAGAUUAAUCAUAACCGCUUGUUUUUAUUGACGAUAUUUUUAAUAUAUUAUCAUAACCAUUUUAAGGUCAAUAUUAUUUAUUCCUUUUUCGGAAUUUGUCUGUCAUUGUCGGAAUUAUCUAAUACGCUUUUAGUAUUAUAUAUAGAUAUAUAUACCUAGUUGAAUGUUAAUCGUGCAAAUGCACGUAACCAAUUAUUAUAAUUUAUUCCAAUCCAUAUAAAAUUUGUACAUUAUAUAUAUCGAUCAAAAUUUUACAAUAAAAAUUAUUUUGAAUAAUUAAUGUCUUAUAUUUUAAUUAAAAAUAUUUAUAAUAUCUAAAUCGUGUUCUUUUAUUAUAUUACAUCGAAAUAUUUUAUAAACUUAUACUUUUUGAUUUUUUGAUGAAUCAAAUUUAUAAAUAUGUAUUUUAAACUAAAGAAGUAUAAAAUUUAAUUCAAUUUAAUUUAAAAUUUAAAAUUUUUAUUGAUCCACUGUAAUAAAACAAUUAAUUAUUAUCAAAUUUGGAUAUCGAGAAAAAUUAAAUUUAAUUACAUAAUUUAAACUAAAUUUAUUUAAUAUCAAAGUAUAUUAAUAGAAAUGUAUUUUUAACAAAGAUUGAUCAUGAACGUUUUGUUUAAUUUAUCGAUAUUUUUAACAAAUUGGAUUAUAAUAUAUGGAUUGAAUUUAUAGAUGGAUGCGAAUUCGGACUAUUUUUUAAUAGAUGUAUUAUAACUGUUCUUGAUUUGAGGAUAUUUUUUUAACAAAAUUUGAAUCAUAACCAGUUUAUUAGGAAAGAUUUUUAUAUGUAGUAGAAAUUUCAAUAGAUUGAUCAUUAACGCGUUCGGUUUUUUAUUUGAUAUAUGUUUUAACAAAUUAAUCAUAAUCAUUCGUAGGAAUAUUAUUUUAUAUUUAUAGAUUGAUCAUGAACCGUUAAUUUUUAUUUGAGAAUAUUUUUAAAAAAGAGUUAAUCAUUAACCAUAUUAUAGGAAUUUUUUUAUUCCUUUUUGGAUCUCAUCCUGUUUUUGUCGGAGAUUCCUAUACGCUUUUUAUAUACUAGCAUAUAUUAAGUUAGCGGAAUAGGGGGUUAAACGACGGAUACACGAGCUGGCUCGAUUAAGUAAUCGAGCCGAAAAAUCAGCUCGUGUUCGGCUGCUUGUACUAACGAGGCCAAGCACGAGCUGGCUCACAAGCUGGCAAACAGGAGUAAUAAAUUUCUAACAAAAAUUACGAGUGGCUGUAUGCUUAUGGGAAGUACGGAGCCCUUCGUGCUCCAAGUUGUUUUCGAGUUCGGAGGAUAGACUUUUGAAUCGACGGAUUGCUCCGUUAGAGUUGAUCUAGGUAUUUGAAUGUACCUAGAAAUAAGAUUUGUGUAAUUUUUCGAUAUCAUUUGCCUAGUGAUCGGAGGAGCUCAAAAUCAAUAUUUAAAGGCCGGUAGUGAGGCCGGUGCAAGUUUAACUGGUGGUAGAAAUAUCUCAAAUCAAUAUUGAGAAUUUUGAUAGGAAGAAUUCUUUAUUAUCAUAUAAAACAAGUCAAAUUAUUUUGAUCUAGAAAUUUGAAAUUCAUAGUCAUCACGAUAUUUUGUAAGAUUUUUUAUUUUCAGGGCCGUUUGAUGUUUUGAGGCUCACUUCCAACCCUCAGGGCAAAUGAUAUCGAAAAACGCUAAAUUUAUUUUCUAGAUCACUUUAAAUACCCUAAAUCAAGUCCUAAGCGGUAGCGAUCGUCGAUUCGAAAGUCCGACAUCGAGAACAACAGUGGAAGCACGGAGCCCUCCGUGCUUAUCCAUAAGCAUCCUAGCCGCACUAUAUAUAUAUAUAAUAAUAAUAAUUAUAUAUAAUAUAAUAUUUAUAUAUAUUAUAUAUAUAUAAUAUAUAUAUAUAGUUAUAUAUAUAUAUACUAGUUGAAUGUACGUGCAAAUGCACGUAACAAUUAAUUAUUAUAAUAUAUUUCAAACCAAUAUAAAUGUGUACAUUAUAUAAAUCCAAAAAUUUUAUAAUAAAAACUAUAUUUAUAAAUUAAUAUAUAAAUUUUAUUAGAAAAUAUUUAAAAUAUCCUAUGUGUUUUUUUUAUAUAUACAUCGAACAUUUUUAUAUACUUUAUUGAUUGAUGAAUAUAAAUUUAAAUAUGUGUUUUAAACUAAAAGCAUUCAAAAUUUAAUUUAUAUUUAUUUUCAAAUUUUAAAAAUUAAGAUUGAUCCACUGUAAAAUAAAAAAAUUAAUUGUUAUUUAAAUUGAUAUCAAAAAUUAAAUUUAAUUCUAAUUUAAACUCAAAUUUUAAUGUAAAAUAGAUAAAUAGGAAUGCUUUUUUUUACAAAUUGAUCAUAACUGUUUGUUUUUUAUUUGAAGGUAUUUUUUAACAAAUUGAUUAUAAUCGUUCGUAGGAUUGAAUUUAUGAAUGGAUAGGAAUGCUAUUUUUUAAUAAAUUGAUCAUAACUAUUCUUAUUGUGAUUUCUUUUUAAACAAAAUUGAUCAUAAGUAUAUUGUAGAGAAUAGAUUUUUAUAUAGUAGAGAUUUAUAGAUUGAUCAUAACCGUUCUUAUUGAUUUUGAGAUAUUUUUAACAAAUUAAUCAUAACCAUUCGUAGGGAAUAUUAUUUUUUUUACAGAUUAAUCAUAACCGUUUGUUUUUAUUGAGAUAUUUUUAAUAUAUUAAUCAUAACCAUUUUAAGGUAAUAUUAUUUUAUUCCUUUUUGGAUUCUGUCUGUCAUUGUCGGAUUUCUAUACGCUUUUAUAUAUAGUAUAGAUAUAUAUACUAGUUGAAUGUACGUGCAAAUGCACGUAACAAUUAUUAUAAUUUAUUCAAAUCAAUAUAAAUUUGUACAUUAUAUAUAUCCAAAAUUUUACAAUAAAAAUUAUAUUUAUAAUUAAUGUCUUAUAUUUUAUUAGAAAAUAUUUAUAAUAUCCUAUCGUGUUCUUUUAUUUAUAUACAUCGAAUAUUUUUAUAUUACUUUUUGAUUUUUGAUGAAUCAAUUUUAAAUAUGUAUUUUAAACUAAAAGUAUCAAAAUUUAAUUCACAUUUAAUUUAAAAUUUAAAAUUAUUUUGAUCCACUGUAAUAAAAAUUAAUUAUUAAUUCAAAUUUGGUAUCAAAAAAUUAAAUUUAAUUCAUAAUUUAAACUCAAAUUUAAUUUAAUAUAAAAUAUUAAUAGAAAUGCUAUUUUUUAACAAAUUGAUCAUAACGUUUGUUUUUUAAUUUACGAUAUUUUUUAACAAAUUGGAUUAUAAUAUGAUUGAAUUUAUAGAUGGAUGCGAAUACUAUUUUUUAAUAGAUUAAUUAUAACUGUUCUUAUUUGAGAUAUUUUUUUAACAAAUUGAUCAUAACCAUUUAUUAGGAAUAGAUUUUUAUAUGUAGUAGAAAUUUAAUAGAUUGAUCAUUAACCGGUUCGUUUUUAUUUGAUAUAUUUUUAACAAAUUAAUCAUAAUCAUUCGUAGGGAAUAUUAUUUUAUAUUAAUAGAUUGAUCAUAACCGUUAAUUUUUAUUUGAGAUAUUUUUAAAAAAAUUAAUCAUAACCAUUUAUAGGGAAUAAUUUUUAUUCCUUUUUGGAUCCAUCUGUAUUGUCGGAAUUCCUAUACGCUUUUAUAUAUAGAUAUAUAUAAUUAGGCUGGAAUAGGGGUUAAACGAGCCGAACACGAGCUGGCUCGUUAAAGUAUCGAGCCGAAAAAUUCAGCUCGUGUUCGGCUCUUUAUUAACGAGCCAAGCACGAGCUGGCUCACAAGCUGGCAAACGAGUAAUAAAUUUAAAAAAAAUAGAGUGGCUGUAUGCUUAUGGAAGUACGGAGCCCUUCGUGCUUCCAAGUUGUUUUCGAUGUUCGGACUUUUGAAUCGACGAUUGGCUCCGUUAGAGUUGAUCUAGAGUAUUUGAAGUACCUAGAAAAUAAAUUUUGUAAUUUUUCGAUAUCAUUUGCCUAGUGAUCGGAGAGCUCAAAAUCAAUAAUUUUAAAGGCCGUAGUGAGGCGGUUGCAAGUUUAACGUGUAGAAAUAUCCAAAUCAUAUGAAAUUUUGAUAGAAAAUUCUUUAUAUCAUAUAAAACAAGAUCAAUUAUUUUGAUCUAAAAUUUUAAUGUCAUAUCAUCAUAUUUUGUAAGAUUUUUAUUUUCAGCCGUUGAUUUUGAGCCACUUCAAUCACUAGGGCAAAUGAUAUCGAAAAACGCUAAAUUUAUUUUCUAGAUACUUUAAAUACCCUAAAUCAAGUCUAAGGGAGCGAUCGUCGAUUCGAAAGUCCGAACAUCGAGAACAAAGUGGAAGCACGGAGCCCUCCGUGCUUCCAUAAGCAUCCUAGCCGCACUAUAUAUAUAUAUAUAAUAUAUAUAUAAUAUAUAUAUAUAUAUAUAUAUAUAUAUAUAUAUAUAUAUAUAUAUAUAUAGUUGAGCUAGAAUACUCUUAAAAGCACCAAGGGGGUGGUGCUUUUGAGUUUUUAACCAUUGGAUGGAGAGAUCUUGAGUUGAGAUGAUGAAGAUAGGUGGUGAUAUGUGGAAUAGUGUUUGAUCCAAAGAUUAUUAGUAAUUAAGGAGUAGAUCCAAGGGCUAGAAAUUCAAAAGUAUUAAGGGGUUGGUGCUUUUGAGAGUAUUAGGGGUACAACAGUUCUUGUGUUCGUAAAUUUCUAGCUCUCCAUCAAUUUUGAUGGAUAAUUAGGAUGAAUCUCUCAAUUUCUCUUCCUGAAAUCUCUCCUUAUUUUUGCUUCUCUCUCACCGCUCUUACCGGAUAGUUAGAAGUUUAGGAGCACAAGACUGUUGUGUUCCUAAUAGCACAGUAGUCCUACUCUAUAUAGAUAUAUAUAUGUGAGUGUACACCCCCCAUGUGUUUUUGAUAUUAUAUUUGAAUUUAUUUAUGAAAGUUUUAAGUUGUAAUAUAUAUUUUCAAAUAUGGUAAAAAAAUAAUUAUUUUUUGUUCGGAUUUUUGGGUUUGGUAACAAGUUUUUGGUCGGUUCGAUUUUAGAUGUGUUCUAGAGCUGCACAUGAUAUCUAUAAACUCUUAUGAAAACUCAUAUUUUUUUGUCUACGUGGCGGUAUUAGCUUAAUCUGUAUUUUGUGGGCCCUACCUAUCAUCUUAAGCUACCAGCCUAACCUAUAUGUCCAUGGGGCCACCUGGCAGUGUUUUUUCCCCAACCCCUUCCCAUUUAUUUACUUUCAGCCCGGUUCCCAAUUAAUGGGUUCAAAGUAUCGGGCCAUCUUCCAUACGGUUCGAUUAAUCCCAUUCCAUCUUCACCCCUAAGAAACUGUUCGCUGCCCCCCGUAGAUGCCGCUCGCCCCUCCUAGAUGCCGCUCCGCCUCCCGAUGAAUCCUCCCUAGUCGGAAAAUUGGGCUAGGUUCAUUGUCGAUCCAUUCUUCCCGUUGCGCCGUUUUCGUUAGCGACGCUUCGUUCCUGCUAUUGAUUGCCCUCCGUUCGCAAAAGUGGUUCAGAUUCAUUCUCUACGCUCUCGUAGACUCAUUGGAUAUCUGUAUUUGUUGAAUCCGAAGAGUCGUUUUACGUUGAAUGCAAUUAUUGUUGUUGCCUAUAUAAUAUGCAUCCAUCAAAUUUUAAUUUGCAGCAAAAAAAUUUUAUUUCUCUGCCGAUACUCAUUUCUUCUCUAAUUUAAUUCUUACCUUUCAUUUUUGUUUGUUACCUUUCAUUUUUGUUUGAAUAUCAAUUUGGCUGCUUAUUGUUUUUUUUAAAAAAUACUGAAUAAUUUUACUUUGCCUCAGGAAAUUGACAGUUGAUUUACAGUCGAUUGCCUCAGAAUUUGUAAAUUCUUUGGAUUAAUUUUUGUAUAUAAACUAUUUUUUUUGCCUUCCAAUUUGUUGAUGUGGAUAAUUUAGUUUUUUUUUUUUUCCAUUCCUGAUUGCCUCAGAUUUAAUUUUUAUGUAUAUAUGAGCUAUUUAUUUUUCCUUCCAAUUUGUUGUUGUGAAUAAUUUAGAAAUUUAUUUUUUAGUAAUUUAUUUUCUCCUGUUCCUGAUUGCCUCAUAUUUAAUUUUUAUGUAUAUAUAAACUAUUUUUUUUUCCUUCCANAAAUUACCAACCAAAUUAGAUUAUGUAUAUAUAAACUAUUUUUUUUUCCUUCCAAUUUGUUGCUGCAAAUAUUUUAGGAAUUUAUUUUUUCGCCCGAUCCUGAUCGUAAUGCUAUUAUAGAUGACAUAAUCUAAUUUGGUUGGUAAUUUACAAAUAUUUUUGCAAUAAAUAUUCAAUUUUUUUUUUUUGGUGAGGUGCUAAUCUUAAUGCUUUUUAUAUAUGAAUUUUUUUUGCAAAAAAAAUUGUAUAUGUUUUUAGUUUGUUUAGAAUACCAAUUCUAAACAUCAAUUCAUUGUUUAUAAAUUUAAGGUAUUACACAGUCAAAGAAUAAUAAGACAAAUUGUCUAUUGAAAAAAAAAAUAACAAGCAUAAGACCAUCAAAAAAAAGAUAGACCAUCAGGCUGUAAAGGGAAAAAAAGAAAAAGUUCCUAUAUAUAAAUAUAUUAGGGUCUUUGUGUCUAUCUUACUAUGCUAAUUGUUAAUUAAUACAUAUCAUCAACCUUCAUUUGAUUAGCUAUUUUAGUGCGAUGGCGUUGCCUUUUAUUGUUGAGAUCAACUUUCAACGACUAUUGCGUAAUAUUUGUGAGAAAUUUUUUCUUCCUCCUCCGAGGUAUGGAAGCACAGUAGGCUCGAGCGAUCAAUUUUUCGCUUCAUGCUGGUUUUGUUUGCGUUCCUUUCAAUUUGUCUAAAUCAAAAUUGACAUGGAUGAAAACGGUGUUAUUAAUGAUCUUGAUUCUGAAUAUAUUUCUUAUCUCAUAUUUGCAGCAAAUUAAAGGAACAAAAUAUAUAGUAUGUAAUCAGAAACUGCACCAGAAAUGUGAGUCAUAAGUGGUGUUGUUUCUUGCAUAGAUGGAAGUACAAUACCUAUGUCCAGAUUUUAUUUAUAGUGUUAACUAGAAACUUAGUCCCUGCAGUUUGAUCUGAACUUCAAUUUCGUCUUUAGAAUUUCAGUCAUAAAAAUCUUGAAACCCAUUUUGAUUUCAUUCCACUUUUAAUUCAGCAAUUUGGUCCCUGAUGUUUAAUCCUGAUUUCCAAAUUUUCAAUGCCUGAAAGAUAAAAUUAUCAAAUUUUAGUGGUCAGUUGAUGGCGAGGGAUUUAUCUCUGUAGUUUUUGAGAUUAGAGCAUAUGUAUGAUGAUAUGCAUUUUGCAAAUCUUGGAGUAAACAUUAACCAUCAAUUAUGAAAGGCAGCAUCAGUAGAAUAACUUUGAUAGCGGUCUUAAUGUGAUUAUUAGUUUUUCCUCUGGUACGAAUCAUCAGGAAAUAUUUAAUUUAUUUGUAUCUGCAUACAAGUAUCCUUGAAGCUAAGAGAUGCUUUUGCAAAACGUUUGAGUGAACUGUAGGUAUCAAUUAUAGAAGUAGCAUCACUAAAAUAACUUGAUAGUAAUCUUAUUAUGAUUAUAAGUUGUCCCUGAAAAGAAUGAGCAUUGUAAAUGACUUACUAAAGUGAAGCAUACUGUUGUUUCUAUCUAACAACUUCUUAGUGCAUGGUUGAGUGUAAGUAUUAUUUAAACUGAUUAUUAUUAGUUACACUGAUGAGUUUUGAUAUUCAUCUAAUUUUGAAAACUGGUACGUCUGUUCCGAUACAUGCUUUUUAUUCAAUUUGUGUUUAUAGUAUAUCAUGUGCAAUUUUUAUUUAAAAUUGAAAGUCUCCAUUUCUUCUUUUUUUUAAAAAAAAAAACUAAUUAAGCUUGACCUGAGGAGCUAAAUCCAUAAAUGCAUGCAUGUUGUAUUCUAUCAUAUGUAAACACUUAUGUCUAACCUCCUUUAGCAUAAGCUGACAAGCAAUUGCCAACAAACUCUUUUUUUAACUUUAACAACUACUAUUUCUAAAUGAAUUCCUCGAUGCCAAUUUUCUACAUGGGAUUCUUCAUAGUAUUUUAUUUGUGUGAAUUCACUUGUGUUGCUUCGAAACUUUGAUGAUAGACCAAAUUUUCUUUUAAUGCUACAUAUAUUUGAUUAACAAUUUUCAGAUCAGAAUAAAGCCAGAUUUGAUGGUAAAAAUAUUGCUUCUUUUUUAAGCAGUUCCAAUCAAGUUGUCCUAUAGAACAGUGGCCUAAACUUUAUAAUCAUUAUUCAUGUUUUCUUUUCGGAUACUGCCUUACUCCUUUUCUUACAGAUAUAUCUUAAAAGAAAAUGUCUGCAAUUUGCAUAUUUUUCUUAAAUAUUUUUUAAAAAAUAACUUUGUUUAUUUUGUACGAUUUAAAUACCAUUAAUCCACAUGAUCGUAAUCCGUAUUGCGACCACCUUUAACUUCUGACUUUUACAUCUACCUGACAAUGUUUACUACUAAAUCUCAAGUAUUAAAAUGAAACGAAAUUAUCUUUUUUCCUGGUACCGUUUGUGCUUCAUAUUUGGCUCUACUUCCUCCUUUUGUUACGUAUUCUAACUCUUCUUUUUCAAAUCUUAAUUUGUAGAAAUCAAGGAUUGCAUGAAAUUCCUCAAUUUUCCUGAUAUUCUCUUUAAAAAAGUUCACAAGCUUCAUGUUCUUUGGUGGUGUAUACAGUUAGUGCAGCAAUUUAUCUUCACUUUUUUUUUUCCCUUUACUUCUUCCCUAAAUACUGAUUAUCCUACUUCUUAUCUAAAGAAUAGGUUACUUUCUUUACUAUUCUUACAUUAUCUGACUAUUCGUGCUGCUUCUUAGGUUUUCUAGCUUUAUUUGCUAUUGCAUUUUACUUGAUGGUGCUAAACUUGACAUGUUGGUAGCUUUACUUAAAUAUUAAACGAAGCGUUAUAUAUUUAUCUUUUUUAUCUAACUUUCUAAUAUAGGAUUUAUGUUGCAUUGCUCCUUUAAUUCCAGCACCAUAGAGGAAAGGUCUGGGAAAAAAAACAGUAUGUAUAUAGUAUGGAAAUUGAAGUGUACACAUUAAGAUGCAUUACAACUUAAAAUUUGCUGCAUAUUCUGAACUUUCAUCUUUGACUAAUUUGCAUCAGUCAUUACUGUUUUGAUUUAUGAAAUUUUUCGAAAUAUUCUUACUUAAAAUGUUGAUUUCAUAUUAUUUGUAAUGUUGCUGCUGCUUCCUCUGUUGUCUUAGUUUCUUUCUUACAUGAAUUUCUAAUCAGAUAUUUCUUGCCUUUUACAUUUUUGUUGAAAAAUACUUGCUUAUUGGUAUGCACGAACUGUUUUCCUUAAUAAUAAUUAGGUUUAUAUCUUUUGUUGUUAAGUUAGUUAUGCUUAGAUGGUCUAAUUUAUCUUUCUAUAACUUUAAUACAAUAUUAAAAGGGGGCAAUUUCCUAUAUACCCCUAUAAAGUCCCCUCUUUCAUUUCUACUCCUCAAAAAACAACUUUCUAAUAUACCCUUCUAAAAACCCAAACUCUUUGCAAUAAACCUAGAAAAUAGAGAUAUAUAAGAAAGAAAGAGAAACUUUCCACGGAUAUGUUUGAAACCAAGGGGAAAAUAGGCAAUAUCACAAGUUUACAAUGGUACAAAAAGCAAUUAUCUCUAAAAUUAAAAAUUGUAAUAACUAUAUUUAAAUAAAAUUAAUUUUGACAUUCUUUGCCCCCUUAAUUUUGUAACUAUAGAGGACAAAGGGAAUUUUUUUUUUUUUUUAUUAUUGCCCGUUCUAAUUGGAAAGCCUAGAUGUAUACUUGAUUGUUUUCUCUACUGCAGCUGUGAUUUUGUAAAGCUAUUUCACAAAUUUCUUUUGAUAUUUGCAAAUAAUAAGUUUUUUUUUAAAAAAAAAAUUUAUAAAUUCUUAAAAUUUAUUUCUUAUUACUACAUGUUCUAAUUUGAAAGCUUGGAUAUAUACCUAAUUGUUUGUUCUACUUUCAUUGGCUUCGUCAUUGUUAGUGUCAGUUUGGUCUAGAUUCUAUAAAAGUAAUUUCUACAUAAUUGAUUUAGGUUUUGAGAAUUAAUUUAGGUUAAAAGCUGUAUAGUGUUUGGUUAUAAAAUUUAAAAGCUGUAAUUUUUAAUUAAUUUGAAUUUUGAAAACUAAAACAUAAAGUUUUGCUUUUUGACCUUUAAAAAUGUCUAUUAUAACUUUAAAUUUUUUAAUUUUAAAUUCUAAAAUUUUAAAAUUACAAAUUACAAAUUACAAAUUUUAAUUUUAACAUUUCCAUAAUAAUAAUAAUAAUAAUAAUAAUAAUAAUAAAUUUGGUAAAAAAAGUUGCUUACCGUCCGUCCCUCCAUCUCUUCUCCUUUUAAUUUAUCUUUUUUCUCCAGCCGACUCUACGCCUCCUCAUUAAUUCUUCUUAUGCUCCGCAUCUCCACCUAUUUUCCUCCUCUUAAUCCUCUCCCUCUCCCUUUACCUCUCCCUCUACAUUGCUCCUGCUACAGUUGCUUCAGCUAGUUCUACUUUUAUUUAUUUGUUAUUCAUAAUUUUUUAAAUUUUUCUUAUAUAUUUAAUAUUUCAUCUUUUGUUUAGCUUUUUUAACAAUCUCAAAUAUUUCUUCAAGUUAUCUAUACAUUAAAUUUUCUUCUCUUAUAGUUAUAGCUCUAUCUUUCUUCUUUUUAUGUUGGAAGUAUAAUAUAUUAUUAUAAAUAUAGUAACGUAGAUAAUCGAAUAUUAUAAUUUAAAGAAAAGAAAGAAAAAAUUUUAGUACCAACACUAAAGUUAAAUAUCAAAUAUUAUAUAUCCACCGCAUCGCGCGGGUCACUACACUAGUAAAACAUAAUAUGGGAAUAGAUGUUUAAUUACUAAUUUUACUAGAGAAGAAGAGCCAUAAGUUGAUCUAUUUGACAAAAUAAAAAAAAUAAUUAUUAAAAUUAAUACAUUUUUCAAAAGAAAAAAGUUGGUCACUAAACUGGUUAAACUUGUUCGAAUCCAACCCCAAAACCUGAAUCAAUUUUGAACUAAUUAAUUGUUCUGACCCUGGCAAAAAUUAUUUUUCCUUUUUCCUGGUCAUGCCUUAGUCUUCUAGACACUAAUUUUAUUUGUGAAAUGUACAAACAUGAAUCAGAUUUUAUUACUAUUUUUUUUAUAAUUAUUUUAGUUGAGGUAGUUCAUCCAUUCAUUUAAGAUGAUAAGGUGCAUGCAAUUUUUGUUUCUAGUCAUGUUUUAGAAAUGACUUAACAUCAAAUAGGAGCUAUAAAACUAUGCAACAUAAUUCUAUAUAUGAAUUUGAAUAAAAAGAAAAACUCUCUAAAAAAAGUAUUUUAUCAAAUAUUCUAAAAAAGUAUUUUAUCAAAUAUUUUAGGAUAUUGGAGAAAACUAAAUAAUUACUGAUGGUCUUAAUUCUUAAACAUCAUAUCUUUUAUUUAUAUUGUAUAGUGUGAUAAUUAUUUUUUUUAUAUACAUAUACACAAUCCUUAAACCUCUUUUAUUUACAUUGUAUAGUGUGGUAAUUAUUUUUUUUUUAUAUACAUAUAAACCCAUUUCUUUUUGUGCUUACUUAUCCCUACCCUUGGGUGGGAACAGGAUUUUUUAAAAUUUAAAUUUAAAUUUUAAAUGUCACGCCCCGGAUUACUCGUUUUUCUGGGCUCGCUAACAGACCCGCCGUAUACAUAGGUAUUUCCUCUGUAUACGAAGCGAAAGUAAAAGUACCUGUAAUCAAACAAUACUACAAACAGUAGUAUAGAGCAGCUAGGAGAGAAGAAUAAAACAUGCAUAUAUAAACUGUGGUUCUAUACAUACAUAAGAUUCAAGAUACAAAAGCACUCGCACUGGCGAGAGUACAACAUCUGUAUGUAUAAACCAAAACUACACUAUCUGGAGCGGUCCUCCACUAGCUCAACAACUCGACUGGAAGGGCUUUAACUCGCGACGCCCUUGCCACGAUCAAAAUCAGUGACAGCAGCAGCCGAGGACGAUGGCUCUGCAAAACAGUGGAAUCAAACUUGGCGUGAGAACUACUAUAAAAAGAAGUAGUCCUCAGUGGGUACCGCCCUCAACACAUUGGUCCACCCACUAAGUCUACAGGGGUAAGCAAGAAAUAGUAAGGAAAGCUGGAACAUAUCUACAGCUAUAUGCCUCUAUACUAUCAUACUCUAAUCUAACCAACUGCAAAAUAGUGUCAACUCAGACCCAAUCUCGCAUAGGGACUGUAAUCAUACUCGUCCCAGGGACUGUGAACACACCCGUCCCGCCAGGUUGCAACUAACCAGCUACCUCCACACUAACAAGCCCGUGGAGAGCGAGUCCAACCUGCACGAACGACACCAACACAAAAGCACUAAGCCCAACUCCGGAGUGGCACUCGUAGGCGCUACUCAACCGAGUAUGCAAGCGUAUCUCUAUCGAGCUCAAUCAGGCUCUAACAAGCCAAAGACAAGUAGUUAGGGUCAAAACAGGUCUAGAAACCGAACCCACGUGCUCUCGGCACAAUCUGAUACCAAAAACAGAAAUAUGGGUCCACCGUCCACCUCGACGGCACCCGACAAUCCGAAACAGCCUAGACUUUACUGUAAAAAUAAGCUCGGGGUCCAAGCACGAGCGUAAAUGCAUUCUAAACUACCCCGAGUAUCCACCGCUCUGAAACAGCAGUGAUAUAAUUAGACCACGGCUCCUAGAGCUAAAUCAGGUAGUAGAAGCAUAUGACGGGUCAAACGCUGGUUUUCUCCUAAGUCAAAUUUCAAGUCCAACAUGUAUAAUGUAAAUAUUCAUUUCAGCAUGCUUCUAUAUUCAUAUUGCAGUCAAGAUGCUAAUCGAUGAAUUUAAGCAUGAUAUACAAGAACCGAAAACUAUACGCGUUGACUAAACAUGCACUUAGGAGCGAAACCGAUGAUACACCCACCUCACAAGCAAUUCCCUGGCAGCAAGGAGGUUCCGAAUCUGCUGGAAGUUCAGCCGAACACCCACACCACCAGCAACUAUCCACCUUAAAGAUCUAACCCCAAAAUUCAGCAAAAAAUCCAUCAAUUCACAUAAUUCCAGUAUUUAAACAUAAAUUGUCUCAACCACACUGUCAAAAUUCACCUAAAGAUCUCCAAUUCAGGUGAGGACAAUCACAAAUCCAGUGAAUAAUGAUGGAGGGUGUGUCUCUGUGACGCCCCAACUUCCCAGGGGGUCACCCAUCCUAGGACUACUCCCGUCCUAGCACGCUUAACUCUCUUAACCUCUUGGGUCUUGCCACCACCCAAAAUGCUUAAGCCGGGUUAAGAGUUUAGCCCUAUUAUAUCUCAUAUAUAGGACUAUCUGGGGUCUCACAAUCUCCCCUCCUUUAAGCCCUGACGUCCUCGUCAGGCUCAGACUCACAAGUACCAGGCGAUGUGAGACUCGUCUCGCUAGCCCGUCAUCCAGACCCUGGCUCAGCCGAGACUCAUCUCACACUUCCGGCUGGUAAUUGGCUCUGAUACCAUCUGUGACGCCCCAACUUCCCAGGGGGUCACCCAUCCUAGGACUACUCCCGUCCUAGCAUGCUUAACUCUCUUAACCUCUUGGGUCUUGCCACCACCCAAAAUGCUUAAGCCGGGUUAAGAGUUUAGCCCUAUUAUAUCUUAUAUAUAGGACUAUCUGGGGUCUCACAGUCUCAGGUCCAAAAUUCCACUGCCUCCAAAGAUAGCAUCAAGAACAAUUCAAAAAUCCCAUUUUCAGCUCAAAACUACCAACAGCAAAGAAAAACAUGGAUUCGACCAAGCUAACCUCAACCAAAAUCUGCAAUUCUGGGCUUCGUGGUUUUCUCUUGAAGUCUAGAAACCAACAAACUAAGUUUCACCGCAAUCCGACCUUCUUACGUCGCACACGAGCUAAAACACCGAAGGUCGUCGCUGGAAAACUGCAGAAUCAGCACUCCACCAUCUUCCAAUUGAAAGUUUGGAUGCAAUUGAGGAAAUUUGAGGGUUGGAAAUGCAAAUGUAAACUUUCUUGAGAGAAAGAGAGGAAAAGAGCUUACCAGGAGCGUCUCCCACCUAUUUAUAAGGUAAUCCAACGGUUAGAUAAGUUUCAGGAACAUUGGAGGUUAACCUGUAGUUUCUACAGAAAAACCAAGUUCUAGGCGCCCUAACCAAGUUCUGGGCGCCCAGAACUUCCAGCCUGCACAAACAGCCCUCAUCGGUUCCUCUGCCUGCGGUGUGCUGCACCCUUAUCCUGCUCCGACGGCCCACACCUACUACCAGCCACGCGUCAACACGAUCGAUAUUUCCAAGAUGAACUUUCGGACCCACUUCUAGGCGCCCGAAAUAUAGGAUCCGAAUUGGCUUCCAGUUCCAGUUAAAUUCAGCACUCAGUACUGGGCGACCUAAUUCCAUUUCUGAGCGCCCUAAACUUCUGGGCGCCUAAAUCCAGUUCUGGGCGCCAUAAACUAGUAAAACUCCAGUUUUGCUUAUUUGAAUGUGCCGAGUCCAUUUCUGCAUCCAAUUCGUACAGAAUUGACUCUGACUCAGUCCGACACUCUCCAGAAGUGUCGACCAGUCAUUAAUACUGAAGCCAAUCCUAUUCAAAGCUCAGAAACACUACAUUAAAUUUUAAAAAUUUAUAAUUUUUAAUCUUGGAAUUAAAAUUUUAUAAUUUUAACUUUUAAAUUGAUAUUUAGAAUUUGAAAUUUAAAAAUUUAAAUUUAAAAUUCAAAAUUUUCAAAUUUAAAAAUUUAAAUAAAAAAUUUUAAAUUUUAAAUUUAAAUAUAAUAUAAAGGCUAAUAUCAUUAUUUUCUAUUCAUAACCACUCUAUCCAAAGUCCAAACAGUGUUUUUCUCAUUUCCGGAAACAACUCAACUUUCAUUCAAACGCAAAAUUAAAAUAUUUAGCUAAACUUAUAUCUAUUCCUGAAAUAGACAAUUCUUACUUAUAUUCGAACUAAAUAAAGCCAUAAUGUAUAGUGUGAGACUUAUAACAAGUAAUUUCAUAUAUUUUUCAAUGUACAGUUCCAUCUAUUUAAGAUGAUAAGGUGCAUACAAUUUUUGUUUCUAGUCAUGCGUUAAAAAUAAUUUAACAUCAAAUAGGAGCUAUAAAGCUAUACAACAUAAUUUUAUAGAUGAAUAAAGAAAAAAAACUCUCUAAAAAAGUAUUUUAUUUUUUUAUAGUUUGUCAAAUAUUCUAGGAUAUUGGAGAAAACUAAAUAAUAAAUAUUGAUGGUCUUAAAGCUCAUAUCUUUUAUUUAUAAUCAUUUAAUUCAAGGUCAUAAUUUAUCUAAAAUAAAGAUAAGAUAAUUGUUAUUAAAAGAUUUAGAAAUGUAAAGUUUAAAAGAAUCCAUUUCAUAUAUAAAUGGUAAGCAUCACGCUGGUGAUUUUGUGAGGAAUUCAUUAAGCUGUAUACAUAACUGGCUAAUAUUUGCAUAACUAUGAUCACUAUGAAGAAAUAUAAUUGAUUACAAUUCAUUAUACAGAUGGAACUAGUUAUAUGAAGGAAAAUAAUUGUCUAGUUUAAUUUUUUGUAGAACUAGUUUGAUUAUACACAACGAAAAAAUGACUAGGUCACUUUAUCUUGAAUGAUUUUGAGCUUAAAACUAAUAUAUAAUAAUAUUUUGUUUUCAUUUAUAUGAAUAAUUGUGAAUUAAAUUAUUAACAUUGUUCUUAAUCUAGGAUAAAUGAGUUUGGAAAAAAUAUAUAGUGAUAUACUCCUCGCCUCUCCGAUGGGAACUUUCGUUGCAAAAAAUAUAUGCAAUAUUCUACGAGAAACAAAGUAUUUACAGCAUACUUCUCGACCGCCUUUACGUAACGCAUUUCUUCGCAAUAACCUAAACGAACCUUAAUAAUCCAACCCUAUUUUCUUAUAUUCAAAAAUAAUUCAAUUUUUAUCAAUUUCAUCCAAACAUAAUAAUUCAUUACCAUUCAUGAGCAAAAUUCGUCUAAAUUGAUUUGACUAGAAGUAUGAAAAAAUUAUAAAUGUGAUGGCAAUAUUACAAAAAUCAACUGCAUUACUCCCGUCCCUAAUUUUUAAAAAUAGCAGGCGAAAACAUCAAUCUCAUAAAUCAAAAACAUGCAAUCAAAAAAUAUAGUUUAUGAAAAACAUUGCUAACUAUAGUUUCCGUAAAUGAUAAAAAUAUAAAAUAAUAUAUAAAAGUUAAUAAUAUCUAAAUAUUGAAUAAUGUUCAAUAGGUAAUUUCAAUCUUGAUGUGACAAUGUAAUAAAAAAAAAAAAAAAAAAAAAAAGACUUCAUUUGAUUCGGCUAUAAAUAAGAAUAGAUGGAUAUGGAGUUAUUUUGUAUUUGCUUGAGUAGGGUUUAGUCCAAAUAUAAGCAAAAUAGUAUUUGAUUGAAGUAAGUGAUAUAAGAAGAUAGUGAAGGAUUAUAAAUAAAAAAUAAUAAUAUUAAUCUCUUUAUUAUAUUUGAAUUAAAAUUUUUAAAUUUAAAUAUAUAACUCUUAAAUUUUAAAAAUACAAAAUUAAAAUUUGAAUUUAAAAAUCUCAAAUUUGAAAAUUCAAAGUUCUAAAUUUUCAAAUUCAAAUUUUAAAUUUAAAAUCAAAUCAAAAUUUAAAAUAAAAAAAUUAAAUUUUAAAUUUAAAAAAUUAAAUAUAUCAAUUUAAAAUUUAAAAUUAUAAAUUUUAAUUUUAUGUGUAGUAUCUCCGGUGACUAGCAGCUGUGGAUGUGCAGCAUCUGGGGCUUGUCGACACAUCUGGAGAAUGUCGGGACAAGUCCGAGUAGCGUUGGCGCGAAAUAAACACAAAACGGACUCGUUGCGACGCGAGAGCAGAUUUUUAGCAUUGAAAAAAUCUGUCAAUUGCAGAUUUUCAGCAAUGCGUACCGGUACCACACAAGGGCGUACCGGUAUCCAGUGUAAUCUGCGAAUAGCUGCUCUCGGGUUGCAAUUUUUGCUGUGGGGUAUCGGUACGGCAUCGGCCUGGUACCGGUACUUCAGGGUAGGUGAGGGGUUGUUUGGUCUUUUGGCUGUCUCGUUGUUUUCACCCUUACCAACUCCCUCUUUAUACGUGUAAGGAGGCAGAGAUGAAGGGUUUUGCUGGUUCUUCCCUCUCUCUCUCAAGUCAUUGACCGUAGCAAGGUGGAGGUCACGGUUGGAACCCGGAUCGACGUCGACUUCGCGCCGAGGAGCCGUUUGAGCACGCGAGCAUCAUAGUCGCAUAGUUGGGUGGCCGGGCAAGCACGUGGUUCCGCUUCUUUCAACUUCUCGACGUUGUGGGAUUAGCUUUUGAGAUGGGUUAAUGUUAUGCUUACCGGAAUUCUCGAAAUUACCUCCUAAGCCUAUAUGUUGACAGCAUGUGAUUUUUGGCUUUGUUUAGCAUGAGUAAUAGGUCGAUUCUUUGAUUUGCAUAGUUUUAAAUCUGAAUUGGAGCCUAGAAUAUUAGCUAAAUUAUACAUGUUGGACAUAGACUUGACUUAGGAGAAAACUAUCGAUUCUACACCGUCAUUUGUUCAAACUACCAGAUUUAGCUCUAAGAGCCGUAGUUUGUUUGUAUCGCCGCAGUUUGUGGGCGGUGGAUACCCAGAAUAGUGUAGAAUGCAUUUCCGCUCGUGCUGGGAUGUCGAGUUUAUUUUUACAGUAGUGUAUAGACUGUUCCGGAUUGUUGGGUGCGUUAUGGUUGACGAUGGACCCGGUUUACUGUUUUUGCAUCGGAUUGUGCCGAGAGCAUGUUGAUUAUGGUUGUUAGACCAGUUAGACCCUUCUGUAUUGAUUAUAGCCUGUGAGUAGGGGUGU
rnacentral:lncRNA from 1 species